UUGCUUUGUCUGCACAUGUAGUGAAAUUGGAAUGAUACAGAAAAGUUUAGCACGGUCCUUGUGAAGGAUGACAUGUAUUUUUGUGAAGCAGUCCAUUUUUUC